rnacentral:rRNA from 1 species
GAUGAACGCUGGCGGCGUGCCUAAUACAUGCAAGUCGAGCGAACAGACGAGGAGCUUGCUCCUCUGACGUUAGCGGCGGACGGGUGAGUAACACGUGGAUCACCUACCUAUAAGACUGGGAUAACUUCGGGAAACCGGAGCUAAUACCGGAUAAUAUAUUGAACCGCAUGGUUCAAUAGUGAAAGACGGUUUUGCUGUCACUUAUAGAUGGAUCCGCGCCGCAUUAGCUAGUUGGUAAGGUAACGGCUUACCAAGGCAACGAUGCGUAGCCGACCUGAGAGGGUGAUCGGCCACACUGGAACUGAGACACGGUCCAGAGUCAUACGGGAGGCAGCAGUAGGGAAUCGGCCGCAAGGGGCGAAAGCCUGACGGAGCAACGCCGCGUGAGUGAUGAAGGUCUUCGGAUCGUAAAACUCUGUUAUUAGGGAAGAACAAAUGUGUAAGUAACUAUGCACGUCUUGACGGUACCUAAUCAGAAAGCCACGGCUAACUACGUG